rnacentral:pre_miRNA from 1 species
AGUACAAUUGCUGGGUCAUAUGGUAAGUCUAUUUUUCAUUUUAAAAUUAACUGUAAGGCUGUUUUUCAGAGAGGCUGUACCCUUUGACAUUCCCACCAGCAAU